rnacentral:rRNA from 1 species
GACGAACGCUGGCGGCGUGCCUAAUACAUGCAAGUCGAACGAGAGCGACCGGUGCUUGCACUGGUCAAUCUAGUGGCGAACGGGUGAGUAACACGUGGGUAACCUGCCCAUCAGAGGGGGAUAACAUCCGGAAACGGAUGCUAACACCGCAUAGGUCUUCGAGCCGCAUGGCUUGAAGAGGAAAAGCGGCGCAAGCUUCUGCUGAUGGAUGGACCCGCGGUGCAUUAGCUAGUUGGUGAGGUAACGGCUCACCAAGGCCGUGAUGCAUAGCCGACCUGAGAGGGUGAUCGGCCACAUUGGGACUGAGACACGGCCCAAACUCCUACGGGAGGCAGCAGUAGGGAAUCUUCCGCAAAGGACGCAAGUCUGACGGAGCAACGCCGCGUGAGUGAAGAAGGUUUUCGGAUCGUAAAACUCUGUUGUUAGAGAAGAACAAGUGCUAGAGUAACUGUUAGCGCCUUGACGGUAUCUAACCAGAAAGCCACGGCUAACUACGUG